rnacentral:rRNA from 1 species
UGGCGGACGGGUGAGUAACGCGUGGGUAACCUGCCUUGUACAGGGGGAUAACAGUUGGAAACGACUGCUAAUACCGCAUAAGCGCACAGUACCGCAUGGUACAGUGUGAAAAACUCCGGUGGUACGAGAUGGACCCGCGUCUGAUUAGCUUGUUGGCAGGGUAACGGCCUACCAAGGCAACGAUCAGUAGCCGGUCUGAGAGGAUGAACGGCCACAUUGGAACUGAGACACGGUCCAAACUCCUACGGGAGGCACAUG